UGGGGAAUAUUGGACAAUGGGCGAAAGCCUGAUCCAGCCAUGCCGCGUGUGUGAAGAAGGCCUUUUGGUUGUAAAGCACUUUAAGCGAGGAGGAGGCUACUAGUACUAAUACUACUGGAUAGUGGACGUUACUCGCAGAAUAAGCACCGGCUAACUCUGUGCCAGCAGCCGCGGUAAUACAGAGGGUGCAAGCGUUAAUCGGAAUUACUGGGCGUAAAGCGCGCGUAGGUGGUUCGUUAAGUUGAAUGUGAAAGCCCCGGGCUCAACCUGGGAACUGCAUCCAAAACUGGCGAGCUAGAGUCGGGCAGAGGGUGGUGGAAUUUCCUGUGUAGCGGUGAAAUGCGUAGAUAUAGGAAGGAACACCAGUGGCGAAGGCGACCACCUGGGCUCAUACUGACACUGAGGUGCGAAAGCGUGGGGAGCAAACAGG
rnacentral:rRNA from 1 species